CUCACAUGUGUGCAGAACAAUUAUCACAAGUCCAAAAGCUUACUUCAGACUCCAAUAGCCUUAAAGUUACCUGUGCUAACCAGCUAGUUUGAAGCUAACUCACCUGGAUAAUCCUCUAAAUUGAUAGGAACGCUCGGGUUUUUUUUCUCUCCUCUCUUUCAAUUCAGUUUAAUUCAGUAACUCUUUCACUGUCAGCUCCAGCUGUGUUGACUCCAGUGCAGCAAAUGUCCAGUCAAUAAUGUCCAACUUGACUUUUACAGUAUAACUUUGAUCUAUGUUGUUUUUUUCUGCUCACACACCUGUCUGAGUUGUGUGGUCUGUAGAGUCCUGGGUCAGAGGGUGCAGAACUCCAGAGAGCAUCUAGCAGUAACCUGUUCAUGAUGCAUUUAGGAACACUGUGUAAUUCAGAGCUCUAAAAUAACCUGGGUUACAAAUAGAUUGAUGAUUAUGUUUUACAGUUUUGUUUGGUUUUUUUGUAUUGAUUGGGACUAGUGACUGCUGCUUGUGAAAACUUUAAAAAUUAACUUAGUGUUUUGUUGACUGGUUGGAAACAAACUGUGCAGUCCAACAAUCAGGUUUCUUCUAUUUGUAUCUACCAGAAAUCCACCCACACAGGACCUCCAUGUUUUUUUCUUGACAGUCCUUCUUUGCUUUCUCACUUGAUGAGUGUAGCUCCUGGCACUACGUUUGUUAUUUGUAAUUUCUUCUUCACCUCUGUCUCCUCUCACAGGGAGAAGAUGAUCUUCAGGAUCCUGCUGCUCAUCAACCUGAUGUCAUGUGUCUCUGGAACAUUUGUAGUGAAUGUGACACAGACCUCCUAUCAGGCAGAGGAGAACCACAACAUCACACUGGAGUGGACGUUCACUAUCAGACCUGACAGAUCCAUCACCUUUAUUAUUAUCUACUGUGAACUGAUAAAUAAACUUAGACGUUUUGGUCUGUUUCAUCUCCAUGACGGUGUUGAGGUCUCAGAGUCUCAGGAUCAACAGUUUUCAGGAAGAGUCCAGUUUGACGAAGACGUCCUCAGAGAAGGACGAAUCAGACUCCGACUGUCCAGACUCAGGACUAAUGACUCAGGACUGUACCUGUGCGAAGUGAAAACAGAUCAAGGUUGGAGCUCUGACAGAUGUCGACUCAACGUCACUGCAGUGAGAGAUUGGUCUGAACCUCUGGAAGAAACUAAACUAAACACAGUAAAUCGAGGAUGGAUCGGUCUUUACUGUGGACUGGGACUGACAGCAGCAGCUGUUCGUUGUUGUUUAUUUGUUUGUCAACUUAGAACAAAAGUUUUUGUUGUUUUUGGCUCAGGAUCUGUGGUUUAAUUCCCAGUGUCCUUGGACAACACUAUAAAUGUCCGAGUAGCAUCUUGAAUGUAGCAGAGGUCCAUAACAAUUUCCUCUUAUUCCUCAAUUUCCAAAAAAAUAAGUUAUUUAAAUACUAAUAAAUACUAUCAAACAUGACUCCAGCAGAAUGUAACCUAAGGAAAUAUUUAUAUUGACCCUUCUCAUUGUGAGUUCUACCUUUGGUCCAAAAUAAAUAUAGAGCAUUAACUGUUACAAAUAUUGAAAUGUAGCUACAAUGAAGGUUUUCUGUUUGUUAGUUAACAGUUGUUUAUUAUUUCCCUAAAUCACUAAAAGAGCUUUUUAUUGUUUUGU
ensembl:lncRNA